UACAGAGGUCUCAAGCGUUGUUCGGAUUCAUUGGGCGUAAAGGGUGCGUAGGUGGCGCCAUAAGUCGGGUGUGAAAUCUCGGGGCUUAACUCCGAAACUGCAUUCGAUACUGUGGUGCUUGAGGACUGGAGAGGAGACUGGAAUUCAUGGUGUAGCAGUGAAAUGCGUAGAGAUCAUGAGGAACACCGGUGGUGAAGGCGGCAUCCUGGACCAACACUGACGCUGAGUGAGCGAAAGCCAGGGGAGCAAACGGG
rnacentral:rRNA from 1 species